GUCUUUGCUCGUGAUGAUGCCAUCUACCUGUAGCUUCUGAAGAAUAUUUCAAUCUAUGCUGCGAUCGGUGCCUCCAUGGAUCAGAACUUGAGGAAGGUCUGUUUCCAUAAUCUCCCCAUCUUCCUGUUCCUCAUUGACAUCCCCAUCGGCAAAUAUUGUGAUCCCUGAUGGCUGGUCCUCGUCAUCGGGAUCUGCAAUGCGAGCAUAAAGAGAUUAUGAUGGCAAAAAUACUUGUGAAUAAAUAAAAGCUGCCAAAAACAAUGACUUCAGUUAUUGGGGAUGGCAGCAACAAGGACAACAAAACAACCUCCACCACCAAUAACAUGUGGCAAUUUGUAGCUUAUCAAAUGGAAACAAAACCGCAAAUGUAGUUAAGCGUAACCUGGAACUAUCAUGAUGUUCUGUAGUCUCUUCUUGUAUGUGGGAGGUGAUUACCUCAAGCAUCAUUUCUAACAUGCUCAAUAAUCUCUACUGGAGUCCUAACUGCCUUUAAUAUGCAUGGCCUCAAGUUCAGGGAAAACAAAGGUUUGAUCUACAUUUACAGUAGCAGAGACAUUAAAUCUAAUUGGCUUGGAAUAUGGUUAUUGCCUCCACUGAAAAUUCAGGUACUUGUCGGACCAAAAUCUCCAAAGAGCAAGAAGAUGGAUAGUGAUAGCUUUCUCUGACCUCAGGUAAAUUGGUACUCACUGUGCACUAGCAUCAGCCUAUCAGCUUAGGUGAACUAUGCAACAGCUGCAACGAAGCCUCAAUCCAAAAACUAGCUGAGGAUCAAAGGAAAAAAAGAA